rnacentral:rRNA from 1 species
CAGCAGCCACGGUAAUACGAAGGGGGCUAGCGUUGUUCGGAUUUACUGGGCGUAAAGCGCACGUAGGCGGAUCGAUCAGUCAGGGGUGAAAUCCCAGAGCUCAACUCUGGAACUGCCUUUGAUACUGUCGAUCUGGAGUAUGGAAGAGGUGAGUGGAAUUCCGAGUGUAGAGGUGAAAUUCGUAGAUAUUCGGAGGAGCACCAGUGGCGAAGGCGGCUCACUGGUCCAUUACCGACGCUGAGGUGCGAAAGCGUGGGGAGCAAACAGGAUUAGAUACCCCCGUAGUCCCUGUCUCUUAUAC